AUUGAACGCUGGCGGCAUGCUUUACACAUGCAAGUCGAACGGUAACAGGCCGCAAGGUGCUGACGAGUGGCGAACGGGUGAGUAAUGCAUCGGAACGUGCCCAGUCGUGGGGGAUAACGCAGCGAAAGCUGCGCUAAUACCGCAUACGAUCUCUGGAUGAAAGCGGGGGACCGAAAGGCCUCGCGCGAUUGGAGCGGCCGAUGUCAGAUUAGGUAGUUGGUGGGGUAAAGGCCCACCAAGCCAACGAUCUGUAGCUGGUCUGAGAGGACGACCAGCCACACGUGGACGGAGACGCGGACCAGGCUCCUACGGGAGGCAGCAGUGGGGAAGUUUGGACAAUGGGCGCAAGCCUGAUCCAGCAAUGCCGCGUGCAGGAAGAGGGCCUUCGGGUUGUAAACUGCUUUUGUACGGAACGAAACGGUUCGGGUUAAUACCCUGGGCUAAUGACGGUACCGUAAGGAUAAGCACCGGCUAACUACGUGCCAGCAGCCGCCGUAACAC
rnacentral:rRNA from 1 species